CCUGAACGCUGGCGGCGUGGCUAAGACAUGCAAGUCGCACGGUGUAGCAAUACACAGUGGCGAACGGGUGAGUAACGAAUCGCUAACGUGCCCCGGACUCUGGGAUAGCUAUCCGAAAGGGUAGGUAAUACCAGAUGACAUAUCCUGCUCGCAUGAGUGGGAUCUCAAAGGUCCGCCGGUCUGGGAGCGGGCGAUUUCGUAUCAGCUAGUUGGUGAGGUAACGGCUCACCAAGGCGACGACGCGUAGCCGGACUGAGAGGUUGGCCGGCCACAUUGGGACUGAGACACUGCCCAGACUCCUACGGGGGGCUGCAGUAACGAAUCUUCCGCAAUGCACGAAAGUGUGACGGAGCGACGCCGCGUGUGGGAUGAAGUUCUUCGGAAUGUAAACCACUGUCAGGGGUUAGAAAGUUCUGAUCAACCCC
rnacentral:rRNA from 1 species